UGAUCGGGUAAGGACUAUAUUGCUGCAACCCUCCAAACAUCGCGUUUUAAUCCUUGUGGUGCACUCAGUUGCGAACAGUUCGCGCCAAUUUUGGUGGUGGAGCGAUUAUACGAAAAUUGAGCGAAAACCACUUCUAUAUUGAAUCUGACAUCGUUCUCUACAAAAUGUGCCAAAUUUGCUUGGUAGACAAUACGGACUUUGAGAAGCAGUCAGCGUAAAUAAAUGUGCUUUGGUUCCACCUCAUAAAGUGUGUCUGGAUUGUCUUUCUGAGACCAUAGUGAUCAUUAACUUAUUUGAAGUGCGGCGUAUUUCACUGAAAUGAAAAUGUGGUCGUUGGUGAUAAUAUUUCCAGCGUUCUUGUUACAAGAAUUUCGCGAUACACAAAAGUCUUGGAGAAUCAUUGCUAACUCUUCAUUGUAUUCUGUUUAAUUGCAAUCGAUUCAAACUCA